rnacentral:rRNA from 1 species
GGAAAAGAAACCAACAGGGAUUGCCCUAGUAACGGCGAGUGAAGCGGCAACAGCUCAAAUUUGAAAUCUGGCUUCGGCCCGAGUUGUAAUUUGCAGAGGAUGCUUCUGGCGCGGUGCCUUCCGAGUUCCCUGGAGCGGGACGCCACAGAGGGUGAGAGCCCCGUAUGGUCGGACACCAAGCCUGUGUGAAGCUCCUUCGACGAGUCGAGUAGUUUGGGAAUGCUGCUCUAAAUGGGAGGUAAAUCUCUUCUAAAGCUAAAUACCGGCCAGAGACCGAUAGCGCACAAGUAGAGUGAUCGAAAGAUGAAAAGCACCUUGAAAAGGGGGUUAAAUAGUACGUGAAAUUGUUGAAAGGGAAGCACUUGUGACCAGACUUGGGCCGGGCGGCUCAUCAGGGGUUCUCCCCUGUGCACUCCGCCCGGCACAGGCCAGCAUCGGUUCUCGUGGGGGGAUAAGACCGUUAGGAACGUAGCACCCUCCGGGGUGUGUUAUAGCCUGGCGGACGAUACCCCCGUGGGGACCGAGGUUCGCGCUCCGCAAGGAUGCUGGCGUAAUGGUCACCAGU